UGACAAGCAGGGGGGCGUGGCCAGCUGGCUGAGGAGGAGCGAUGACGUCAUCACGUUUUUCCUCUCAAAACAGCACUGGAGCUAAAUACAUUAGCAAAGGUUCAGCUGGACGUGGAGUGACACCUGCACUUGGUCCCAGGGGGUAAAAUUAAGUGAACACAAUACACUAGGAUCUAGAAUAGAAGAAGAUGAGAAAGACAAACCCCUCUUGGAACCCAGGAGGAUGAUGGUGACUGAAUUUCCUCCCCACUAUAAAGUCCUCCUCAAUCUUCUGGUUUGAUGGGUUCAUAAAGCGACUUGUUGGACGUCUUCAAAUCCUUCAUCGCUCCUGUGAGGCCGCGUGCGAGAUGCUGAACAGUGGGUGGACGAGCGGCCAAUCACAAGCGGAUGAGAGUGUGGAGGAUGUGAAGAAUAACUACGAGACGUCCUCAGCAGAGAAGAGAUAAACACGAAGAGGAGGAGACAAGAGAACUGUCACUCAUCACAUUUACAAACUAUUUCCUGCAACAUGACGAGCUGCUUCCUACACGUCUGUGUCACGGUGUGAAUGAAGGACUGACAUCUGGCCGAAGCCUGAAACUGGUGCAGCCGUGGGCAGAAGGUAUGUGUCCUGUAUGGAGCCUCAGUGAGGCCGGGCCGGUCCGGUCCGGUCCGGUCCGGUCCGGUCCGGUCCGGUCCGGUCCAUACGAAGUCUGCUUCCGCUCGCUUCCUUCAAACUGAGGGAAGUGCACAGUCGCCGGCAUCUGCUCGUUCCGAGAUGAACCAGAGCAGAGAAGACGCCUCGUUCACUCGUCGUUACUCAGAACUCGAAUCUGAUUUGCUCCCGCGUGCAAAUACGUCAAAGCUCGCAUUUUAAAGGAUCUCUCAUCAAACCCACUAACGUGUCCCGCACCAGAUCAGACCAGCUGAUCGCUUCAGUUGGUCUGAGGUUUUUGAUCUCCAGGUUUUAAAUCUCCAGGAAACCGCAGCGGUCCUUCCUUUGUUUAUAUGUGACGCAGGUUUAUUUUAAGGAUUUGAAUGUAGGCCACAAAUUUUGCAGCAGCACUGGAGUGGAAAACGUGGCAGCCCAUCCAUAAAAAACACGAGAAAUGUCACAGAACAAUGUGAAAUUGAUAUUUGAGCAACAAAUUUGGAGCCAGUUUGAAAAUUUGUUUUUUUUUUCAAUAAAUUGCUCAAUAAAAUGUUGCUAAUGUUAUCGUCAUGACAGCAUCAUUUGAAUUCAGCUAUAAAACACUUUUUGCCAUAAAGCUUUUACUUAUAAAACCUGUUCCUUGUACAUUCUUAAUUUAUUUCAGUGCUUGCGUUCAUUAAAUCCAUUUUCUGAUUAUUCUGUUUAUUAAACUUCCUGUUUAA